rnacentral:rRNA from 1 species
CCUACGGGAGACUGCAGUGAGGAAUAUUGGUCAAUGGACGAGAGUCUGAACCAGCCAAGUAGCGUGAAGGAUGACGGCCCUAUGGGUUGUAAACUUCUUUUAUAUGGGAAUAAAACGUUCCACGUGUGGGAUUUUGUAUGUACCAUAUGAAUAAGGAUCGGCUAACUCCGUGCCAGCAGCCGCGGUAAUACGGAGGAUCCGAGCGUUAUCCGGAUUUAUUGGGUUUAAAGGGAGAGUAGGUGGAUUGUUAAGUCAGUUGUGAAAGUUUGCGGCUCAACCGUAAAAUUGCAGUUGAAACUGGCAGUCUUGAGUACAGUAGAGGUGUGCGGAAUUCGUGGUGUAGCGGUGAAAUGCUUAGAUAUCACGAAGAACUCCGAUUGCGAAGGCAGUUCACUGGACUGCAACUGACACUGAGGCUCGAAAGUGUGGGUAUCAAACAGGAUUAGAUACCCCUGUAGUC